rnacentral:rRNA from 1 species
GUUAUACUUGUAAUAUAAUACAUUUUAUACUUAUGUAUAAAGUGUAUUAUAGCUUUAACUUUUUAAACACACCAAUGCUUAUGUUAAUUAAAACUGUUUUAUAGAAAAAAGACUCUUUUUUCUACGGGCAAGUAUAAUAUCGAUUUAUUCGAAUAAAGUUCUAGAUAGAAUACUGAUUAUGACAAUUUUCUAUCUAUAUGUCUUGACCAAAAUACGUGCCAGCAGUCGCGGCAAUACGUAAAAGACUAGUGUUAUUCAUCUUUAAUAGGUUUAAAGGGUACCUAGACGGUGUAAUUAGUCCUAAAUAGGAUACGAUUAUUACUAGAGUUAUAUACGAGGAGGGGAGAAUUUAUAGAGUAGAGUUAAAAUUUUGUAAUACUAUAAAGACUGGUAACGGCGAAAGCGACCUUUUAUCUAAUAACUGACGUUGAGGGACGAAGGCUUGGGUAGCGAAUAGGAUUAGAUACCCUAGUAGUCCAAGCAGAGAAUUAUGAAUGCCAUAGAUUAGAUUUUUUUUAGUUUAUAAAUGAAAGUGUAAGCAUUUCACCUCAAGAGUAAUGUGGCAACGCAGGAACUGAAAUCAUUAGACCGUUUCUGAAACCAGUAGUGAAGUAUGUUAUUUAAUUCGUCAAUACGCGAAAAACCUUACCACAAUUUGAAUAUUAUUUUAUGAAAACGAUAUUUUUAAUAUUGUUAGUAGUAUUAUAUUACAAGCGUUGCACGGCUGUCUUCAGUUAAUGUCGUGAGAUAUUGGUUUAUUCCAUUAAAUUAACGGAAACCCUUGCUUUAUUUAUCUUUUUAAGAAUAAAGCAGUACACCUUGAGUAGGAUAUG